UACAGAGGUCCCGAGCGUUGUUCGGAUUCACUGGGCGUAAAGGGUGCGUAGGUGGCGGGGUAAGUUUGAUGUGAAAUCUCCAAGCUUAACUUGGAAACUGCAUUGAAUACUAUCCCGCUAGAGGAAUGGAGGGGAGACUGGAAUACUUGGUGUAGCAGUGAAAUGCGUAGAUAUCAAGUGGAACACCAGUGGCGAAGGCGAGUCUCUGGACAUUUCCUGACGCUGAGGCACGAAAGCCAGGGGAGCAAACGGG
rnacentral:rRNA from 1 species